UACGUAGGGGGCUAGCGUUGUCCGGAAUCAUUGGGCGUAAAGCGCGUGUAGGCGGUCCGGUAAGUCCGCUGUGAAAGUCGGGGGCUCAACCCUCGAAUGCCGGUGGAUACUGUCGGGCUAGAGUGCGGAAGAGGCGAGUGGAAUUCCUGGUGUAGCGGUGAAAUGCGCAGAUAUCGGGAGGGACACCAAUGGCGAAGGCAGCUCGCUGGGACGGUACUGACGCUGAGACGCGAAAGCCAGGGGAGCAAACGGG
rnacentral:rRNA from 1 species